rnacentral:rRNA from 1 species
GAUGAACGCUGGCGGCGUGCCUAAUACAUGCAAGUCGAGCGAACAGACGAGGAGCUUGCUCCUCUGACGUUAGCGGCGGACGGGUGAGUAACACGUGGAUAACCUACCUAUAAGACUGGGAUAACUUCGGGAAACCGGAGCUAAUACCGGAUAAUAUAUUGAACCGCAUGGUUCAAUAGUGAAAGACGGUUUUGCUGUCACUUAUAGAUGGAUCCGCGCCGCAUUAGCUAGUUGGUAAGGUAACGGCUUACCAAGGCAACGAUGCGUAGCCGACCUGAGAGGGUGAUGGGGCAAACUGGAACUGAGACACGGUCCAGACUCCUACGGGAGGCAGCAGUAGGGAAGCUUCCGCAAUGGGCCAAAGCCUGACAGAGCAAUGUCGCGUGAGUGAUGAAGGUCUUCGGAUCGUAAAACUCUGUUAGUAGGGAAGAACAAAUAUGUAAGUAACUAUGCACGUCUUGACGGUACCUAAUCAGAAAGCCACGGCUAACUACGUG